rnacentral:rRNA from 1 species
UACGGAGGAUCCAAGCGUUAUCCGGAAUUACUGGGCGUAAAGAGUUGCGUAGGUGGCACUGUAUGUCGAUAGUGAAAGCGUGUGGCUCAACCAUAUACACAUUAUCGAAACUGCAGAGCUAGAGGACGAGAGAGGUUAUUGGAAUUCCCAGUGUAGGAGUGAAAUCCGUAGAUAUUGGGAGGAACACCGAUGGCGUAGGCAGAUAACUGGCUCGUUCCUGACACUAAGGCACGAAAGCGUGGGGAGCAAACGGG